rnacentral:rRNA from 1 species
CCUACGGGGGGCUGCAGUGAGGAAUCUUGGUCAAUGGACGCAAGUCUGAACCAGCCAUGCCGCGUGCAGGAAGACGGCUCUAUGAGUUGUAAACUGCUUUUGUACGAGGGUAAACGCAGAUACGCGUAUCUGUCUGCAAGUAUCGUACGAAAAAGGAUCGGCUAACUCCGUGCCAGCAGCCGCGGUAAUACGGAGGAUUCAAGCGUUAUCCGGAUUUAGUGGGUUUAAAGGGUGCGUAGGCGGUCGGAUAAGUUAGAGGUGAAAUCCCGAGGCUCAACUUCGGAAUUGCCUCUGAUACUGUGCGGCUAGAGAGUGGUUGCGGUAGGCGGAGUGUAUGGUGUAGCGGGGUGAUGCUUAGAGAUCA